CCUACGGGCGGCAGCAGUGAGGAAUAUUGGUCAAUGGUCGGGAGACUGAACCAGCCAAGCCGCGUGAGGGAUGAAGGUACAGAGUAUCGUAAACCUCUUUUGUCAGGGAACAAAGGCGGGGACGUGUCCCCGGAUGAGUGUACCUGAAGAAAAAGCAUCGGCUAACUCCGUGCCAGCAGCCGCGGUAAUACGGAGGAUGCGAGCGUUAUCCGGAUUUAGUGGGUGUAAAGGGUGCGCAGGCGGUCUGUUAAGUCAGCGGUCAAAGCCCGGGGCUCAACCCCGGCCCGCCGUUGAAACUGGCAGUCUCGAGUUGGAGAGAAGUAUGCGGAAUGCGCGGUGUAGCGGUGAAAUGCAUAGAUAUCGCGCAGAACUCCGAUUGCGAAGGCAGCAUGCCGGCUCCACACUGACGCUGAGGCACGAAAGCGUGGGUAUCGAACAGGAUUAGAUAUCCGGGUAGUC
rnacentral:rRNA from 1 species